rnacentral:piRNA from 1 species
UGGUACUUCGUUUCCGUAUUU